rnacentral:rRNA from 1 species
GGUGAGUAACGCGUGGGAAUCUACCUUUUGCUACGGAAUAACGCAGGGAAACUUGUGCUAAUACCGUAUGUGUCCUUCGGGAGAAAGAUUUAUCGGCAAGAGAUGAGCCCGCGUUGGAUUAGCUAGUUGGUGGGGUAAAGGCCUACCAAGGCGACGAUCCAUAGCUGGUCUGAGAGGAUGAUCAGCCACAUUGGGACUGAGACACGGCCCAAACUCCUACGGGAGGCAGCAGUGGGGAAUAUUGGACAAUGGGCGCAAGCCUGAUCCAGCCAUGCCGCGUGAGUGAUGAAGGCCCUAGGGUUGUAAAGCUCUUUCACCGGAGAAGAUAAUGACGGUAUCCGGAGAAGAAGCCCCGGCUAACUUCGUGCCAGCAGCCGCGGUAAUACGAAGGGGGCUAGCGUUGUUCGGAAUUACUGGGCGUAAAGCGCACGUAGGCGGAUCGAUCAGUCAGGGGUGAAAUCCCAGGGCUCAACCCUGGAACUGCCUUUGAUACUGUCGAUCUGGAGUAUGGAAGAGGUGAGUG